rnacentral:rRNA from 1 species
CCUACGGGUGGCAGCAGUGAGGAAUAUUGGUCAAUGGGCGAGAGCCUGAACCAGCCAAGUCGCGUGAGGGAGUACUGCCCUAUGGGUUGUAAACCUCUUUUGUCAGGGAGCAACGCCGGCUACGUGUAGCCGGACUGAGAGUACCUGAAGAAAAAGCAUCGGCUAACUCCGUGCCAGCAGCCGCGGUAAUACGGAGGAUGCGAGCGUUAUCCGGAUUUAUUGGGUUUAAAGGGUGCGUAGGCGGAAUGCCAAGUCAGCGGUAAAAUCGCGGGGCUCAACCUCGCUCCGCCGUUGAAACUGGCGUUCUGGAGUGGGCGAGAAGUAUGCGGAAUGCGUGGUGUAGCGGUGAAAUGCAUAGAUAUCACGCAGAACUCCGAUUGCGAAGGCAGCAUACCGGCGCCCAACUGACGCUGAAGCACGAAAGCGUGGGUAUCGAACAGGAUUAGAUACCCGGGUAGUC